GUGUGUCGUCGUCGUCGUCGUCACAGUGUAGGCUAUACCAUAGCCAAAUAUAAAUUACCCAGCAUUAUAUCAAAUUAUUCAGCUGAAUUAUACGCCAUUUACAAAAGUAUAUUAUAUUAAAAAAAAAAGCAUAAUGGUUGCCUUGCCACUUGUCACGUAGUUGUUUGUUGGUGAGCCAUUGUGCCGUCUAUUGUAAAACGCGUAGCAAAUUUUUAAUUUGUGAUACCGUACUACUGAUCGUGAGUAAUAGUUACUUAGGUCUAAGAGAAUAUUAGCCUUGUAUUAUUUUAGUAUUCUGGAAUUUAAAUCAAUGAUGUCUACGAGAGAUGAAAAUCCAUCAGUUGAGACCGAUACUGACAAAAUAACCGACUCGUGUAAUUCACAGAAUAUUGAAAGAAAAGAGUUGAAGAAUAUUAAAGUUGAAAACGAUAAAGACAAUUUUUCAGCAGAACAGGAAAAGCUAGAAUCGCAAAUACCACCAAAACCGAUAUCUGAGCAAGUAAGUCACAGACUCGCUUUAGUGGAAGUAGGGCCAGGCAGAUAUAAAAUGAUUCGCUGUCAGAAGAAAAGGUUGCCUAGAGCCCUAGCUGAUACCCAAAAGAAAUAUGGAAUUUCAAACAUGAAUAAAGGAGGGGUUGUAAAGAUAUGGGAAGACCUUCCACAUGCAGUUGAUACAUGUAACGCUAUAAAAGACUUGUUCAGAAAACACACAAAUAUAAAAGUCAUAGGAGACAAACAAAUAAUUGAAUGGAAAGGUGAUGUACAGGAACUACAUGGUAUAAUAGAAGCAUAUUUAAAUAAAAAAGGAGGAGGUAUGCGUGUAGCAUUAGCAAUGCUGGGCCAGACGUCAAUAACUGACUAUUUUCCAAGGAAUGGAGCUACUUCCACUUCUAAACAAAUAAAUUGAUAGAAGAGACAUAAGUGUACAGUAGCAGUAUUUGAUAGGCAGGUAAUAAUAGGAAGUUGCUUGCACGAAGAUUAUAUAAGACAAGUUACUGGAAGAUGCUUACAACGACCUUGAUAUCCCCUUGAAAAAAUUGCAGAAUCCAUUACUCCUGUGACUGUGCAACUGCGGAAGAUUUUACUGUGCCUUUUGGAAGCUUUGAUGGAACUUGUGCUCAGAAGUAUGUAUGGAACCAUUAGCUAGUGUUGGACCUGGACCUCACAGAACUCUUGACUCUAGAUACUAUAUUUUGCUACUUGUGUGUUAUUUAUAAAACUUUUUAAUUAAAACAACUUUGUUCAUUUUAACAUUAAAA